rnacentral:rRNA from 1 species
CCUACGGGAGGCAGCAGUGAGGAAUCUUGGUCAAUGGACGAGAGUCUGAACCAGCCAUGCCGCGUGAAGGAUGACUGCUCUCUGGGUUGUAAACUUCUUUUAUAAAGGCAUAAAUCGCAACACGUGUACCUUUUUGCAUGUAUUUUACGAAUAAGGAUCGGCUAACUCCGUGCCAGCAGCCGCGGUAAUACGGAGUCUCCGAGCGUUAUCCGGAUUUAUUGGGUUUAAAGGGUGCGUAGGUGGUUUGUUAAGUCAGUUGUGAAAGGUGGCGGCUCAACCGUAAAACUGCAAAUGAUACGGGCAGACUUGAGUACAGUUGAGGUAGGCGGAAUUCGUGGUGUAGCGGUGAAAUGCUUAGAUAUCACGAAGAACCCCGAUUGCGAAGGCAGCUUACUAAACUGUAACUGACGUUGAGGCACGAAAGUGUGGGGAGCAAACAGGAUUAGAUACCCUAGUAGUC